rnacentral:rRNA from 1 species
GACGAACGCUGGCGGCGUGCUUAACACAUGCAAGUCGAACGGUGAAGCGCCUUCCUUUUUGGUGGGUGUGGAUGAGUGGCGAACGGGUGAGUAACACGUGAGUAACCUGCCCCCUUCUUCUGGAUAACCGCAUGAAAGUGUGGCUAAUACGGGAUAUUCUGGGUCUGUCGCAUGAUGGGUCUGGGAAAGAUAUUGUUUCGGUGGGGGAUGGGCUCGCGGCCUAUCAGCUUGUUGGUGGGGUGAUGGCCUACCAAGGCGGUGACGGGUAGCCGGCCUGAGAGGGUGGACGGUCACACUGGGACUGAGACACGGCCCAGACUCCUACGGGAGGCAGCAGUGGGGAAUAUUGCACAAUGGGCGCAAGCCUGAUGCAGCGACGCCGCGGGAGGGAUGGAGGCCUUCGGGUUGUGAACCUCUUUCGCCAGUGAGGCAGGCCUGCCUCGUUUGUGGGUGGGUUGACGGUAGCUGGAUAAGAAGCGCCGGCUAACUACGUG